GCAUUGGUGGUUCAGUGGUAGAACUCUCGCCUGCCUUGUGGGAGAUACUGGUCUGGUUCCUGGCCAAUGCA
rnacentral:tRNA from 1 species